GAUAGCUCUUCAUCUCGUGUCUUCUUCUUCUAAUUUCCGAUUAUCAUCAUCAAUCAAAUCUAACUAAUCCAAUGGGGUUUUGUUCGUAAUAUAUAUAACCUGCGUCUCCUUGUUCUUCUUCUUUCAUCAUCAAGCAAUUAAACGUCAACAUGUUCUGUUCUACGCCUCCGACAGCUGAUCGAAGCAACCUGCAAUUUGUUCUCAAAAAAAGCUUCUCGUCUCCUCCGCACACGACUAGUUCCAGUAAAACGGACUCAUCACGGAGCUUUCUUUUGUUGAUUCUACGAUAUUUACGAGUAUUCUUCUCCUCAAUGCCAUUACAAUCGUUUAUGGUUGUUGUUAUAAAACAAAUUGAGAAGAUGGAGAUAUUAUGGAGGGAUAUCGACAGUUUUUUUUUGUGUUGUGGCUGCUGCUGCAACUACGUUAACAGUCCAACAAAUAAGAAGGCAUAUGAUGGAAGAAUGGAAGUGGGUCAACAACAAUCAGAUUCCCUCCCUUAAUUUCUCAUCCAUUCCUGAGCCAGGUAACUCUUCUUUUCAUCUCUUUAUUUUUUUUCUCUUUCUAACUAACUAUAUAAAAACUAGAAAUUAAAAAUUAAAUGAAAACUUAAACUUAAAUACUAAAUUACAAAAAAAAAACAUUAUGGACUAACUGGAUUUUGGAUGCAAUUAAUUUCGUUAGACAUUCCACAAAUUCGACUUGGUUCCGUUUUGUUAUGUGUGUAUUUAGUAUUUAAGUUUAGUUUUUUCAAUCAAUUAAAAACUAAAAGUUAUAAUUAGUUUUAUUUUUAAUU